GAAACCAGUUAGCCUCUGCUGUUUCGGUUUCUCCGUGCACACGCCAGGGACCGCCCAGGCACCCACCUCAUGCGGGCGCUCAGAGGAUGAAGCGCGUAAUUCACACGGCCUGGGGGGUAGUGGUUGAGAACGGGGACUGGAGCCAGCUAGCCAAGGCAUGACAUCCCCAUGACCAGUGGCUGUCCCUGCGACCUCAGGCACCCCCCUCAACCUCUCGGAGCUUCUGAGUUUUCAUCUUCGAUAUGGAGACAGAGUGUCCAUCUCAUGGGGUCUUUGGGAGGGUGGUACCUAAUGCCAAGAACGGCUCACAGGCUGCUGCUGUUCCAGACAUUUCCAUGAACACACACUGGGAUCCACACGCUUCUCUGUCUGCCUCUUUAGUCUUAGUGGCUAAGGGUCAUUCCAAGGACACUCACCUCCCCGGCUUCCUUCCGUCUUCAACCUUCAAUCAACCAAAUCUGCUUUGCCCUCUCACCCUGUGCAUCAAGGGAACAUUUUCAGUCCAGUUUGGCCAUUGUGGAUAAUUUUCUGCUUAAACCCUGCCUCUGUUAAUCCAGACGCUCCAGAUUAUAUAUAAAAAUAAAAAUAUAGAGGUGUG